rnacentral:tRNA from 1 species
GCCUGGCUGGCUCAGCUGGUGGAGCGUGUGGCUCUUGAUCUCGGGGUUGUGAGUUCAAGCCCCAUGUCAGGCA